CUUUAUCAAGUCUUUAGGAAUUACAGAAAUACUCAGAGAUAAACUGUUAAUAUCUUUAGUAUGGAGUUUGGGCUUUUAUUAUCAAUUGUUCCUUGACUGGGUAUUAAAUAUGCGGGUUAUUGGACAGCUGUCAGUAUGUAAUUGCACUCGUACUUUUGGUUUGGUUAGCUUCUCAAGUCCGUUCUGUUUUACUCUGCAAGUUGGAGUAGGAAGUGGAACUAUUUUUCUCAUGUAUUCUUGCACAAUGAAUUGCUGUCUGCAACGAGUGGACGAUUCAGCCUGAACAGAAAUUGCCCAGAGUUGCUGUUUCUUUGGGUUGCUUCUUCAUCAUAAAAACAGGGAUAUUUCCUCUGAGGUAGAUUUCUUUAUAUUUUAACUAUAACUAGCAACAUUUUUUCCC
rnacentral:misc_RNA from 1 species